CUUGCUUUGGAGUUAAAAGAGAACGCAAAAACUUGUCCUACCCAUUCCCUCUUCAAUUUCUUGUAUUCACUGGCUGUAAGAUGUGUUUCUUGUAAAAACACAACGUCAGCGUUUAAUUUCUUAAGGCAAAUUCAUGAAAGAGACUAUAAGUUCUGUAGUAAAACGCCAAAUGGAUCUACCUCCUGGUCCUCUUCCCCUGUCUUACCCACCAAGGGUAGAGACAGAGAUGACCUCGCCUACUGAAAUACCGGAUUGGGCAAAGCCACCAGAAGACGACUCAAGCCAACCAACUACUGAACCUGACUGGAGGCAGGAAGAAUCACCCUCUGCCUCAAGUGACACCUCUGAAUGGGAACAGCUGAUAGACUCAUUGCUGAUAGAGUAAGGGCACUGUCAUGACCAGAGGCCCAUAUAUGCACUGUAAGAAAAGUGUUUCCUCAUUGUUGCUAGAGUAAUGGGCACUGUCAUAACCAGAGGCCCAUAUAUGCACUGUAAGAAAAGUGUUUCCUCAUUGUUGCUAGAGUAAUGGGCACUGUCAUAACCAGAGGCCCAUAUAUGCACUGUAAGAAAAGUAUUUCCUGUUGUAAGAUAUGUCAUCACCCUCUCUGCUCUGAGGGAAUGGGAGGAGCAGCAGAUCGGGUGCAGAGAAUCAAAAGGUAUAUAAAGAGACAUUUGCCAUUACUUUGGCGCUGACUUCUUGAAUUCUGAAUUCAUUUAGACAACCAUUUGACUUCGGGUAAAUUGACACCUGACUCAAAUUACUUAAGAUUCUAACUUGUUGGAUCUGAGAAGUGACUCUCCGAUAUACCGUUUAACUAUCGAUCAGCUGUUUUGUCGCUUUGCGCCAGGUACGUGGGUGCUGAUGCAAAUAUAUCCAGAGAGUUCUCUGUAGCCUCUCGAUUGAGCUCAGCAUCUCGACCUCGUUGCGAGCCGCGGACACUGCGGUAGUUCAACGGGUUUAACUAUCGAUCAGCUGUUUUGUCGCUUUGCGCCAGGUACGUGGGUGCUGAUGCAAAUAUAUCCAGAGAGUUCUUUGUAGCCUCUCGAUUGAGCUCAGUAUCGCGACCUCGUUGCGAGCCACUGACACUGCGGUAGUUCAACGGGGUUGAGAGCACUCUAGUCCUUAAGGUUAUCCCUUGCUUUCUCUUAUGGAUGUCUGAAUUGACCCUGUGGUUUUGCGCCAGGUACGUGGGUGCUGAUGCAAAUAUAUCCAGAGAGUUCUCUGUAGCCUCUCGAUUGAGCUCAGUAUCGCGACCUCGUUGCGGACACAGACUUUUUUGAAUAUUCCAUUUGGGGCAGGGAAUCACCAGCGGGUUCUCUCAUCUGAGCCAAACUUGAAUCUCUCAAUUUAGUAAAGCACCGACUCCAAGUCAACCUCUCAGCCAGUAGAGGGGAGUCGCUACUAACUAAAUUCUAAACAGAACUCUGACCGAUUGAAACUCUGCUCCUGAUCUCGUGGGUCUCCUCGUCAUCUCUCAAAGGUAAUUAAAUAACUAUUACAAGUA